rnacentral:lncRNA from 1 species
GUAGGCGACUGGGCAAGCCCACUUCUAGGACCAAGGAAGGCAGCUGGUGGACUGAAGGCCCACCAUCCUGGGGACAGCGAGAAGCCAGCCAUCACCGGCAGGGAAGUCCAGCACAACGAGCACAGACAAAGCCGACAGCCAUGCAGCCAUUGUGGGGAAGAAGCCAGCACUGCUGGGACCCCAGAAGCAGCGCCCCACCCUUGAGUCCUGCCUCCCUCUCUC